CCCCGGACCCUGGGUUAGGGUUUGUGUAGUGUUCUGUGAACAUGUGACCUCUGUUCGCAGUUCGGUGCAGUCUGAGCUGAAGGCCAUCAGCGAUAUGAAGAACAAGAGACGCCUGGUCAUCCGCAAUAUCAGCCACAGAUUAUUCUCACAGCCCCAGAAGAACAGGCCCCUGGUGUUGCAGAGAAACCUCACAGACAUCGAGGAGGAAAAAGACAAGACUCUGGACCAGGACAGUGACUGUGGCCUGAGCAUCGAUGCCAAGACGAGCCGUGCCUCAUCCCUGUACAACGAAGCCAGGGCCAAUGGUGAGUGGUGAGGCCAACAUAACCAUGCAGACCUGAACUUGUGAGGCU
rnacentral:lncRNA from 1 species